rnacentral:Y_RNA from 1 species
GGCUGGUCCAAAGGUGGUGAGUUAUCUCAAUUGAUUGCUCACUGUUACAGAUCGAACUCCUUGUUUUACUCUUUCCCUCCUUCUCACUACUUCACCUGUCUAGUCUUAA